rnacentral:rRNA from 1 species
UACAGAGACCUCAAGCGUUAUCCGGAAUCAUUGGGCGUAAAGCGUACCGAUAGGUGGUUUUACAAGUCAGAAGUGAAAUCUUAAGGCUUAACCUUGAGUCUGUCUUUUGAAACUGUAAAACUAGAGGGGCAAAGAGGAAGCUGGAACGAACGGUGUAGUAGUGAAAUGCGUUGAUAUCGUUCGGAACACCAAUAGCGUAGGCAAGCUUCUGGGUGCCACCUGACACUGCUAGGACGAAAGCGUGGGUAGCGAACAGG